rnacentral:rRNA from 1 species
GAACGCUGGCGGCGUGCCUAAUACAUGCAAGUCGAGCGAACAGACGAGGAGCUUGCUCCUCUGACGUUCGCGGCGGACGGGUGAGUAACACGUGGAUAACCUACCUAUAAGACUGGGAUAACUACGGGAAACCGGAGCUAAUACCGGAUAAUAUAUUGAACCGCAUGGUUCAAUAGUGAAAGACGGUUUUGCUGUCACUUAUAGAUGGAUCCGCGCCGCAUUAGCUAGUUGGUAAGGUAACGGCUUACCAAGGCAACGAUGCGUAGCCGACCUGAGAGGGUGAUCGGCCACACUGGAACUGAGACACGGUCCAGACUCCUACGGGAGGCAGCAGUAGGGAAUCUUCCGCAAUGGGCGAAAGCCUGACGGAGCAACGCCGCGUGAGUGAUGAAGGUCUUCGGAUCGUAAAACUCUGUUAUUAGGGAAGAACAAAUGUGUAAGUAACUAUGCACGUCUUGACGGUACCUAAUCAGAAAGCCACGGCUAACUACGUG